rnacentral:rRNA from 1 species
CGCGAAUUCGCCCUUCGGGGUGCACCAGGCGCGAAAACUUUACAAUGCGGGAAACCGUGAUAAGGGAACUCCGAGUGCCCGUAAAAUCGGGCUGUCCAUCUGUUUAAAUAACAGGUGAAGAAAGGGCCGGGCAAGACCGGUGCCAGCCGCCGCGGUAAUACCGGCGGCUCGAGUGGUGGCCACUAUUACUGGGCUUAAAGCGUUCGUAGCUGGUCUGUUAAGUCUCUGGGGAAAUCUACUGGCUUAACCAAUAGGCGUUUCAGGGAUACUGGCAGACUAGGGACCGGGAGAGGUGAGGGGUACUCCAGGGGUAGGAGUGAAAUCCUGUAAUCCUUGGGGGACCACCUGUGGCGAAGGCGCCUCACCAGAACGGCUCCGACAGUGAGGGACGAAAGCUGGGGGAGCAAACCGGAUUAGAUACCCGGGUAGUCCCAGCCGUAAACGAUGCGCGUUAGGUGUAUCGGUGACCACGAGUCACCGAGGUGCCGAAGAGAAAUCGUGAAACGUGCCGCCUGGGAAGUACGGUCGCAAGGCUGAAACUUAAAGGAAUUGGCGGGGGAGCAC